rnacentral:lncRNA from 1 species
AUCAGUCUUCAUGAGCACUGAGCUGACACAGGUCUAGAAGCGUAUUUUCAUUGAUGAUCGGUCGAACAAAAAAUGGGUGGAUCAAGCGGUUUCGUAUUUUGUUUUAACGCGAUCAUAAUUUUUCGGAACAGCACCGGGACUCACCAGACAGAUAGAAGGUGGAAUUUUUGCAAACGUUGGAGCCAAAAUAUUAUUCUACAAAAAGGGGUGCGUGACUCUGCAUCCCCCUGCGAUGCAUCCACACCCUUGUCUAACCUCCCAAAUAUAACCUUACCUAACCUAACAUAACCUAACCUAACUUAACGGCUGGGUGGAUGCAACGUCCUGAGUCCAAUACGGAUAUCAGUGUUUUUUUCACUGACCUCAGUCUUUUUCGGCACUGACUUAAGUGUUAUUUGGUGCUGAUCUCAGUGUCGGAUCUGUUCCAAACUAGCGUGCCACUUGCCAUUUUUACAAUAUUGCAGAUCCUUCUUCGACGGUGAGAGUAAAGGCAACACCUGAUACCGGCAGGUUCUUCUCUCUCGUCGGUUGGCGCGGGGCCAUCUGGCAUCCCCGCAACGGUGCGCGAUAGUACCCUCACCAGUCACCAGAAAAUCCAAUCAGCCGGAGUGUUCCAUCAUCGGCGCCUCAUAGACGAAUCUGGUGCCCCCACAACCAUGCGUCCUUUCCACAUUUUCUUCUUGGCUUGCGUGUGCUACGAAGCCGUAUCCACAAAUGCUGCGACACACUUGUCCAAGGAGACGACAGGAGUAGGAGCGACCGAACCAAGAAGCUUCUUCCACAAUUUCCAUAUCAACUACCCUUAUCUAUGGAACACUUGGAGUCUGCUGCCAAACCGACCAAGAGGCCAAAGUGAAGACCUCUCGAGCAGUCAGACCAACGUUAACAAUCUCGGUGCAGCCAGUAACGGACACUUGGGAAUCGGGCUAACUAUAGAUUACGGUAAACGCACAGAGGCCGGUCUAAGCCAAGCCGCCACGGACACGACCCAAGAAACAAUCAACGACACAGACGCUCCCAUCCCCGUGACAGAAACAGGCGCGGGCGCGGGCUUAGAAGCGCCUUCAAAACCAGAGCUACCACCACCGAGACACCGAGCAACCUCAACAAAGAUGCAACUCACCCGCCGCCCAUCAUCAUCCUCGACGCUGCCACAUUUCUGGCGCUGAACCGCGAACAGCUCCAAGCCCCUCAACCAACAGUGAACCUUCAUCAAACCGGCAGCGUCGCCGCCAGCGAGAAAAUCGAACACACCGAAUACCCGGAUCCGCAAGUGCUGUCGCUUCCCAGUUCACCAUUUGUCUCCGAGUCGCGCGUCAAUUUCUCGUCGGGGAACCUCGUUUUCCAAGUGGAGACCAAGAACUACUCCUCCGAUCUGGGCCUGAGGACCGAAUCGAUCGCUAAACACCCCGAGAACGCAGCUAAUUUCGACAUCAUCGCAGCGCCCUCCAACGUGGCGGCGAAUUACACCCCCUCGGAGAAUACCUCAAACAUAAACGCGGUAAGCGACGUCUCGGUUUCAGAGAAUGACGUCGCAGUGUCUUCAUCAACCACCAUAACCCCGGCGCUUAAAGAUGACCCCGCCCAGGAGUCAGAAACCACCAGCAAAGAUGUUGAGAAAGAUCUGUCAGCCGGACCCGAAGAAGGGAAGAAGAAGCCGUCUGUACUGCCUCCAUCAUCAACUACAUCCUCGACCCCGACGAAGACACCAUCCAAGACCUCGGAGCCCCCGCUUCUGAUCCGGGCUCACUACUACCCGGUCUCCGGCAACUUCUGGUACCCGCACAACGGGCCGUACCACUCCUACACGACGGAGUACGCGCCACAACCGCAAGCGUACCAGGAGCCGCAGGCGUACCAGAGCCCGCAGGUCUUCUUCACGAACGGCUACUCGGCGACGUCGCAGUACGACCGACCGGCGGAGCUCUACGGGAGGCCGCAGAAGCCGAUCUUCACGCCGGCCGCGGCCGCGCCGGCGGACGCCUACGGCGAAGCCUCCUUCUACGACUACAAGCCGGCGACGAAGCCGGUGUACCUGACCAAGGGCACGACCCCGUACCGGGGGUCACCAUCUACCUGGAGUCGAUGCCGGAACCGACGACUCCGGUCCCGUCGACCGUGUUCUCGGCCAGCGAGGUGACCACCGAGAAGCCGAGCAUCAACUCCUGGUUCCGACCCCCGCAGUUCAUCAGCAACAUCAUCAGCGUCCUCCACAAGGAUAACGUCGGGAAACCCAGGGAUAAGCCCAAGCCCACGCCUGCGCCGAAACCUCCCAGUCGAGCGCUUCAUUGAACGAUUUUCAGACUAAAUAGACCUAGGGUACCUAUCAGUAUAGCUUGACAUUUCAAGCUAAGGAAGAACGCGAUGUGCCUAUUUCAAAUAGACCGAGUUAGGGGGCGUUUAAGUAUGGCGUGAGCUACUAAAGAGAAAGGGGGUACAGGAGAUUCCAGAUACUUUGAACGGGGGGUGGAAGGGGGGGUCCGAGGGCUUCCCUCAGGAAAUUUUCGAAAUUUUAAAACGUCUAUGCAGCUUGAGUAAAUUUCGUCAUGAAUAAUUAACAAAUAUCGACGGUGAAACUACCAAACCACGUAUCUCGUUUGCGGUGUUUAAAAAUCUACGAUCGCAUUUUAUUUUUUUGAAGUAGACCAAAUCAAUAUCAUUCCUUGAAAUUUUCACAGAAUUUUCUCCGCACAAAGAGGAAAAAUCACAGAGAUUUUCAAGACUGGACGUUACGUAGUUUUUUAUUUGAAAAAUAAAGUAUGACAGGAAGUCUGCAACGUCGCAAACCGAGAUACGUGGUUUGGUAGUUUCACCGUCAAUAUCCGUCUUCUUCUUGCCACUGAUCCUUCCUUCUUCCUUUUUCCCCUUUUCCCUCCGCUGUUUUUUCGAGCGAAAGGGGGACAGUGUACGCCCCCUUUACACCCCCCUCUUGGAUCCGCCUAUGAAAGGGGUUCUGAGUUUGCUUAGCCCGGUAUUAUGAGGGGAAAAAGGGAGGAGGGUGGUUCCUAGGAUUAGCCAAAAUAUUUGCUCACUCCAUACGCAUUUAAGUGAAAUUUAAGUGUUAAGCCAUUAAAGGUUUAAAAACGCAUUUCUCAGAUUGUGACGAUGCAUAUCUACCAACUUAGUUCAUUUUCUAAGAGAAAGUGAUCAACAUUAUCUUCUUUAAAAUGUCUUUCCGAUUUUUCUGCGCCUUACAAAAUAUUUUGAAAACGCACAUAUUUAAUACAUAAUUGUUUUAAAAAUGUACCCAAAAAAUGUGGAAGUCUUGAAUAAAAAGGUAAAGAUACGCUUUCUUAAACAUUCACAGGCCACUUAUGCCGAAGAGAAUGUCACAUUCAUGCCUGAUAGUGCAUUGUAGUGCAUCCUCAGCGUGUAUGUAAAUAGACUUCGAGAUAAAGAAAAACUGUUGCCAUGUAACGCAGAUUUCACUCCAAAGUUUCCACAGGCAAAAAACGGAUUCAUGACUUCUUAAGAUACAGAUAUAUUUCAGUUAGGUAAACAUAUUUUCAGAAAACUCAAAAUUUAAACCAAGAAGUUGACAGUUGCAUAUUGUGUUAUUUCAAGAGGAGUGAUAAAAGAUAAUUUUUUCCUAUUCCUCACAUGUAAAUUGUAUAAAUUACAAUGAUAGUAGUAUCAGCCACUUUUAAUCGUAACUUAAGAAAUACCGUGUUCUGCGCACAAAAAUAGCAAGUCUGGACUUGUGUCAAAGACAGUGUAAGCAUGCUUAGACACGAAUUCACUCAGGCCUAAUAUCUACUCAGGAGAUAAUCGACAAUCUAAGUCACUAUCAACUAUAAUAAGUUAUAUACAAUUUUCAAUACAUGUCUGUUAAUAUAUGUUUGUAGGUAAGCACAAAUACAUUUUUUAACGUUCUUAAAAAAUCGACUUAUUAUUACUCGAUUCAUAUUGGCAAGUGUGUUUGAAUGAUUUCUGACUAAUAUCGGACUAAUUUCGGACUGGUUUACGACUCGUUCAAGAAUAUUCACGGUAAAUUUCAAAAGAAUGCUUUGAUCUCUUGAUUUAAAAACAAAUAAAACAUAACCGGAAAUUUUUAAAUGUUGCAAUGGAAAUAUGCGUUUUUCGACUAUGACAAUCAAUACAUUAGAAAUUCAAAUGAUCGUUUCCUUAUGAACUGACCAAAUAUUCUCGACGUCAUCGAAGAACUGAUGAGUUCAGUUCGAUGCUCUCAAAAAUUCUCAAAUACUGAGUCCAGUGCUUGAUUAGUAAACUGUUAAUGAGAAAUUAAUCACUACUCUAUCGUCCAUCGUCUCCGCCUGUCGGCAAGCCAACUUUGUUACGACCCCCUAUUUGUGAGUCCACGUCCUUGACACAGGUAAGUUUUUUUUUUUGCUAUUCCCGUAGAUCGUAACUUUAUAAAAGAGUGAAUAUUAAUUUUUCUUGCAUUUUUUCUCCCAGCUUUAUCCAUCUAGAUGAUUAUCAUAUUUUUAAAAGUUUCUUAAUUUUUCCAAAAUGUAGGUUCACGCAAAAAUAACUCGCAUUUAACUGUAUCAUUGUGAGUAUUGCUUGAAAGAAAUUAAAAUAUCUAAAUUGUUAGGUAAUAAUCAAGGUUGAAAACGUUAAAAUUCAUACAGAACUUAACUUCCAAAAAUGGGAAAUAUUGGAGGGUGAUCACAGAUUUACAAUGAAUCCACAAAUAAAGAUUUUUUUAAGCCGGAUUUACACGUAAAUUUUAAAUACAUUAAAUUUUUAUUCGAAGAGGUCCUCCAUACAAUUUUUAGCAAGGAAUCUCUGAAAAAAUCUCAAAACAUGACAAAUGCUAAACAAAAUUUAAAUAUCUCAUAGGUGCUAUGAGGGGGGGGGGGAUCACACGGAUGAGACGCCACCCCCCCCCCUCCCGCUAAGCCCUACGUAAGAAUAAACAACAUACGGCUAAAAAUUUGUGACGUCACAAAUCUACCAAUAUCAGUAAGAGUAAGAAAGUUUUUGUUCAUCUGCGUUCUUGUCUCAAUGUGUUCAAAAAAGGGAUACAGCGGGUGGCAUGGGACAAUUAUAUACGAAUAACUGCAUUCAUUUCAACUACUGCUGUCAUAACGGGGACAAGAAUUUUUAUCCGUAUAAAUACUCCCCCACCUCCACAAUCACCAUCAGUGCAUAACAGUGGCGUGGCGUGAAUGAUCGAUUAUCGAUAUUUCUCCAUUUGAAGCUAUGGUAAAGAAUCGAUUAUUAAUGUGUUCGUUGCGAACACCUUGAUAAUCGACCUUUUUCCAUAGAUUUAAAUGGAAGAUCAAUCGAUAUAUCGCAAAGCAAGCCACGCCACUGGUGCAUAAGUGGUAGAUAUUUGAAUAUUUAUACAAAUACGAUAAAUCAAAAGUGAAAGCAUGGCUGAUUUGCAUGCGAGAGUUGCGGUAACCAGUCAUGAAAAGUUGAGAUAAAAAUUGAGUCGGGCAUGUAUUGUACUCAUGCAAUUUGGAUGAUGCGUCCUCGUUGAAUUCUGAAUUAAGUAGAAUAAUAAUGACAAAGACAACGCGAUGCGGGCGGGUGAAAGUGAGAAAUGCGGAGGAGCGCAUUGCGAAAGGAGGCCUUCCACCCGAAAAUCGGAUUUCGAGGAAACAGUUUCCAAAGUUUCAGUCUUAUCAGAAUUCACUGAUUUAAGGGAACGUUUCAGAGGACUAGAAAUAGGAGAAAUACAAAAACAAACAUUUGGGACCUCAUUGCAUAGAACGACCUAUACUAUGGUUCGAGAAUGCAGCCCGCUUUAAAGCAUUAUUAAGGGGGAGGGGGGGAGAGACACCGCAAUUUUUUUUAGUUAUAUUAAAUUGUGAAAAACUUUGGUUUAUAAUUUACGCUUGUUUACAAAUUGAAGGCGUCAGAGAAAGUAUAAGAUCAAGGAUAUUUUCUGCAGGUCUGGACCUGGGCUCCUGGAGGGCAGAAUCAAGUAAUGUUCUGGCGCAGGAAUUAUGCUGAAUCGGUCCUAAAAGUGACCAAUUUUCCUCUACUAAAAGCCGCGUAGCUCGCUCAAUCUUUAACAUUGAACUAUAUAGACGUUUAUAUAAAGAAAGAAAUAUUCCAUAGGAUACAAGGAGUUAAAGAAGGCUACGUAUUCUAUGGACGAGUUCCACAGUUUUCUAUCCGUGAGUAUCGGGGCGUAAAGGGCUCGAAUGUCAGCUUAUGCUCAAGUGGUCAGAAUUUUCGAUUUCAGAGGUUGUACAUUCCGAAUUGUGUGACCAUUAAUAGUAGAAGGGGCCCACGUCUACAAAAACUCAAAUUGAAUCAUU